UUUGUCACGACUUCGAUCGGUCAUCUGCAGGAGAGGCAUCAGACGCUGUUUCAGCCUCCUCUUCCAGCCUCUUAUACGAAGAACUUCGAAGGUAUCUACUUGGCCGUGGCCGAUAAGAUUAUGAUUGGAUGGCCUGAGCCUUGGUGGGGAAGUCAGGAUCCGUUGUUCUUCUUCGUCUUAUGGACCAACCAGACGCUUUCCAAGGAAAUGGACUGGCUCCACGGGAUCACUUGUAUUUUCACCAUCCACCAGCAGCCAAACAUCCUGGAGAUGUUCGUCACGGCAGAUAGCGCAAGAAGGAUGGAAGUCCUACCAGAGGGCGUGGUCAAACAGCACAUCCUUCACCUCCUCCGAUCGUUCAGUGGUCUCCCUGUUCCGGAACCGACAUUCUUCAAAAGGAGCAAGUGGGGUCUCGACCCCUGGAGAAGGGGUUCGUAUUGUUCCCUCUUCACCAUCGAAGCUGAACAAGCUGGCCUCCAAAACCGCCGAGAGUUCACCAUACCUUUGACGAACGCCAAGGGUGUUGAAGUAAGCAGUCUCCACUGAGACCUUAUC